rnacentral:rRNA from 1 species
AGAGUUUGAUCCUGGCUCAGAUUGAACGCUGGCGGCAUGCCUAACACAUGCAAGUCGAGCGAGCUGUAGCAAUACAGCUAGCGGCGGACGGGUGAGGAAUACAUAGGAAUUUGCCCUUAAGUGGGGGAUAGCCAGGGGAAACUCUGAGUAAUACCGCAUGAUCUCGUGAGAGCAAAGCAGGGGACCGCAAGGCCUUGCGCUUUUGGAGAAGCCUAUGUCGGAUUAGCUAGUUGGUAGGGUAAUGGCCUACCAAGGCGACGAUCCGUAGCUGGUCUGAGAGAACGAUCAGCCACACCGGAACUGAGACACGGUCCGGACUCCUACGGGAGGCAGCAGUGGGGAAUAUUGGACAAUGGGCGCAAGCCUGAUCCAGCAAUGCCGCGUGUGUGAAGAAGGCCUUCGGGUUGUAAAGCACUUUAGGCAGGGAAGAAAAAAUCGGCGAUAACAUCGCCGGCCUUGACGGUACCUGAGGAAUAAGCACCGGCUAACUCUGUGCCAGCAGCCGCGGUAAUACAGAGGGUGCAAGCGUUAAUCGGAUUUACUGGGCGUAAAGCGUGUGUAGGUGGUUGGAAAAGUCGAUUGUGAAAUCCCCUGGGCUCAACCCGGGAACUGCUUUCGAGACUGUCUGACUAGAAUUCGGUAGAGGGAGGCGGAACUCCAGGUGUAGCGGUGAAAUGCGUAGAUAUCUGGAAGAACACCAAUGGCGAAGGCAACCUCCUGGGCCUGAAUUGACACUGAGACACGAAAGCGUGGGGAUCAAACAGGAUUAGAUACCCUGGUAGUCCACGCCGUAAACGAUGAGAACUUGACGUCGGUUUGCUCUGCGAAUCGGUGUCGUAGCUAACGCGAUAAGUUCUCCGCCUGGGGAGUACGGCCGCAAGGUUGAAACUCAAAUGAAUUGACGG